rnacentral:rRNA from 1 species
AUUGAACGCUGGCGGCAGGCUUAACACAUGCAAGUCGAGCGGGGUGAUGGUGCUUGCACUAUCACUUAGCGGCGGACGGGCGAGUAAUGCUUAGGAAUCUGCCUAUUAGUGGGGGGACAACAUCUCGAAAGGGAUGCUAAUACCGCAUACGUCCUACGGGAGAAAGCAGGGGAUCACUUGUGACCUUGCGCUAAUAGAUGAGCCUAAGUCGGAUUAGCUAGUUGGUGGGGUAAAGGCCUACCAAGGCGACGAUCUGUAGCGGGUCUGAGAGGAUGAUCGGCCACACUGGGACUGAGACACGGCCCGGACUCCUACGGGAGGCAGCAGUGGGGAAUAUUGGACAAUGGGGGGAACCCUGAUCCAGCCAUGCCGCGUGUGUGAAGAAGGCUUUAUGGUUGUAAAGCACUUUAAGCGAGGAGGAGGCUCUUUUGGUUAAUACCCAAGAUGAGUGGACGUUACUCGCAGAAUAAGCACCGGCUAACUCUGUGCCAGCCGCCGCCGUAA